GUGCCAGCCGCCGCGGUAAGACAGAGGUGCCGAGCGUUAGGCGGAAUCACUGGGCUUAAAGCGUGUGUAGGCGGACCGUUAAGUACCUUGUGAAAUCCUGCGGCUCAACCGCAGAACCGCUGGGUAUACUGGCGGUCUUGAGGCACCCAGGGGCUGUCGGAACAAGCGGUGGAGCGGUGAAAUGCGUAGAUAUCGCUUGGAACGCCGGCGGUGAAAACGGACAGCUGGGGGUGUGCUGACGCUGAGACACGAAAGCCAGGGGAGCGAACGGGAUUAGAUACCCUAGUAGUCC
rnacentral:rRNA from 1 species